rnacentral:rRNA from 1 species
ACUCAAAUGAAUAGACGGGGGCCCGCACAAGCAGCGGAGCAUGUGGUUUAAUUCGAAGCAACGCGAAGAACCUUACCUAGACUUGACAUCUCCUGAAUUACCCUUAAUCGGGGAAGCCCUUCGGGGCAGGAAGACAGGUGGUGCAUGGUUGUCGUCAGCUCGUGUCGUGAGAUGUUGGGUUAAGUCCCGCAACGAGCGCAACCCUUAUCAUUAGUUGCUACCAUUAAGUUGAGCACUCUAGUGAGACUGCCACGGUUAACGUGGAGGAAGGUGGGGAUGACGUCAAAUCAUCAUGCCCCUUAUGUCUAGGGCUACACACGUGCUACAAUGGUGAAUACAAAUAGAUGCAAUACCGCGAGGUGGAGCCAAACUAUAAAAUUCAUCCCAGUUCGGAUUGUAGUCUGAAACUCGACUACAUGAAGCCGGAGUUGCUAGUAAUCGCGAAUCAGCAUGUCGCGGUGAAUACGUUCCCGGGCCUUGUACACACCGCCCGU